rnacentral:rRNA from 1 species
CUGCCAGUGAUAAACUGGAGGAAGGUGGGGAUGACGUCAAGUCAUCAUGGCCCUUACGACCAGGGCUACACACGUGCUACAAUGGCGCAUACAAAGAGAAGCGACCUCGCGAGAGCAAGCGGACCUCAUAAAGUGCGUCGUAGUCCGGAUUGGAGUCUGCAACUCGACUCCAUGAAGUCGGAAUCGCUAGUAAUCGUGGAUCAGAAUGCCACGGUGAAUACGUUCCCGGGCCUUGUACACACCGCCCGUCACACCAUGGGAGUGGGUUGCAAAAGAAGUAGGUAGCUUAACCUUCGGGAGGGCGCUUACCACUUUGUGAUUCAUGACUGGGGUGAAGUCGUAACAAGGUAACCGUAGGGGAACCUGCGGUUGGAUCACCUCCUU